rnacentral:ncRNA from 1 species
UAUAAUAAAUAUAAACAUUCUCGUAUAAUUUCGGGAAUAUGGCCCGAAAGUUUCUACCAAGCUACCGUAAAUAGCUUGACUACGAGGUGUUGACGGUUCGAU